ACGGGAGGCAGCAGUGGGGAAUAUUGCACAAUGGGGGAAACCCUGAUGCAGCGACGCCGCGUGAGUGAAGAAGUAUUUCGGUAUGUAAAGCUCUAUCAGCAGGAAAGAUAAUGACGGUACCUGACUAAGAAGCACCGGCUAAAUACGUGCCAGCAGCCGCGGUAAUACGUAUGGUGCAAGCGUUAUCCGGAUUUACUGGGUGUAAAGGGAGCGCAGACGGCAUGGCAAGCCAGAUGUGAAAGGCAGGGGCUCAACUCCUGGACUGCAUUUGGAACUGUCAAGCUAGAGUAUCGGAGAGGUAAGUGGAAUUCCUAGUGUAGCGGUGAAAUGCGUAGAUAUUAGGAGGAACACCAGUGGCGAAGGCGGCUUACUGGACGAUAACUGACGUUGGGGCUCGAAAGCGUGGGGAGCAAACAGGAUUAGAUACCCUGGUA
rnacentral:rRNA from 1 species